rnacentral:rRNA from 1 species
CCUACGGGUGGCAGCAGUGAGGAAUAUUGGUCAAUGGGCGAGAGCCUGAACCAGCCAAGUCGCGUGAGGGAAGACGGUCCUAUGGAUUGUAAACCUCUUUUGUAGGGGAGCAAAAAGGCCUCGUGAGGCCACAAGUGAGGGUACCCUAAGAAAAAGCAUCGGCUAACUCCGUGCCAGCAGCCGCGGUAUUACGGGGGAUGCGAGGGUUAUUGGGAUUUGUGGGGUUUAAAGGGUGCGUGGGGGGACUGGAAAGUCAGCGGUAAAAUCGCGAGGCUCAACCUGUUGCCGCCGUUGAAACUGUCGGGCUUGAGUGGGCGAGAGGUAUGCGGAAUGCGUGGUGUAGCCGUGAAAUGCAUAGAUAUCACGCAGAACUCCGAUUGCGAAGGCAGCCUACCGGCGCCCGACUGACGCUGAGGCACGAAAGCGUGGGGAUCGAACAGGAUUAGAUACCCUUGUAGUC